rnacentral:lncRNA from 1 species
UGCAAAUGUUGGCCAAUUAAUUCCUGUUCAAUGUAUGGUACUCAAGUUUCUCAAGCUCUUUUCUUUCUUGGGUGUCAAGCCCUUUGAUUCUUCAAGGAUCCAAUUGCACUGCUCUUCUAAGAUCGAACCAGUGUAGCUCUCAAUUAUCCUUUCCACUCACAUUCUUUCCUUGUUCAGUUUCUCAAUACUUUGGAAUAAGCUUCAUCAAUCGAUCAUCCCUUGACCAUCAUUCAAUGAAUUUCUCAGCACUAGCAAAUUUCAAAACAAAUUUCAUCCACCAUCACUGGGUCCUUAUCUCA